AACAAACGCUGGCGGCAUGCCUAACACAUGCAAGUCGAACGAGACCUUCGGGUCUAGUGGCGCACGGGUGCGUAACGCGUGGGAACCUGCCCUUAGGUUCGGAAUAACUCCCCGAAAGGGGUGCUAAUACCGGAUAAUGUCUUCGGACCAAAGAUUUAUCGCCUUUGGAUGGGCCCGCGUUGGAUUAGCUAGUUGGUAGGGUAAAAGCCUACCAAGGCGACGAUCCAUAGCUGGUCUGAGAGGAUGAUCAGCCACACUGGGACUGAGACACGGCCCAGACUCCUACGGGAGGCAGCAGUGGGGAAUAUUGGACAAUGGGCGAAAGCCUGAUCCAGCAAUGCCGCGUGAGUGAUGAAGGCCUUAGGGUUGUAAAGCUCUUUUACCCGGGAUGAUAAUGACAGUACCGGGAAAAUAAGCUCCGGCUAACUCCGUG
rnacentral:rRNA from 1 species